UACGUAGGCAGCGAGCGUUGUUCGGAGUUACUGGGCGUAAAGAGUGCGUAGGCGGUUUCUCAGUUUGGUGUGAAAUCUCCCGGCUUAACUGGGAGGGUGCGCCGAAAACUGGAAGGCUCGAGUAUGGGAGAGGUAAGCGGAAUUCCUGGUGUAGCGGUGAAAUGCGUAGAUAUCAGGAAGAACACCAAUGGCGAAAGCAGCUCUCUGGGACGGUACUGACGCUGAGACGCGAAAGCGUGGGGAGCGAACAGG
rnacentral:rRNA from 1 species